rnacentral:rRNA from 1 species
UACGUAGGUGGCAAGCGUUGUCCGGAUUUACUGGGCGUAAAGGGAGCGUAGGCGGAUACUUAAGUGGGAUGUGAAAUACCUGGGCUUAACUUGGGUGCUGCAUUCCAAACUGGGUGUCUAGAGUGUUGGAGAGGAAAGUGGAAUUCCUAGUGUAGCGGUGAAAUGCGUAGAGAUUAGGAAGAACACCAGUGGCGAAGGCGACUUUCUGGACAAUAACUGACGCUGAGGCUCGAAAGCGUGGGGAGCAAACAGGAUUAGAUACCCUGGUAGUCCACGCCGUAAACGCUGGGUACUAGGUGUAGGCGUUAUCGACUCCUCCUGUGCCGCCGUUAACACAAUACGUACCCCGCCUGGGGAGUACGGUCGCAAGAUUAUA